rnacentral:lncRNA from 1 species
UUUGGAGUCAAAAGGUUUUGUCGCAGCCUACUGAGAUGCCUGGAAGCACAAACUUCGAUUGGUCUGAAGAAUGGGAGAACUGGCCAUCCUUCCCAGAACAUUUAGACUCCUGACUCCCAGACCUGUAGUGACAGUUUCUCAUGUUAAAAUGAUCCAAAUGUGACAAUGAAAACACUGAUGGAGGACUUGGGAAAGCUUCUCUACAAGCGGAAACUGCAGUGGAAAAAAAGUCUCAAUAGAGGCGACAGGAUGACUCUGACCUAAAGCUCUGCAGCUCUCCCACCAGAUCUGGCGGAUGAUCUCUCGUCGCUCGGGGACAAGUUUGUACUGGAUAACCUCCUCCAGCUCGGACAGCAUGUGGCAAGAAACCAUGGCCUGAUGGAAGCAAAUCACAUUCCAAACUAAUUACUGCACGAACAAUCCUAGCUACAGAAGUUAUCUGUCUCACUUAAAUUCCAGGGAUGAAAAGAGAAAUUCGCUGAAGAAGGGCAUUUUCCCAGAACUGAAUGGCUUGAGAGGAGGUAUUAUCCAAUUUCUCAUCGAAGACAGAAAUGUAUGGCAUCCAAAACUUUAACAUCUAUCUAAGGGGACUCCAUGGCUGCCCAGGGAGCAUCUUGACAGAUGAGGGGAAGUGCAUGAGUGUGAAGUCUGCACAUCAAGUGGGCUGAAUGCAGCACCUCAUUAUCCUAGAGAACGCUCUCAGGUUUCUCCAGGUGCAACAAAAUUGCUUUCUUCCUUACUACUGAGACAGCUCACAGUUCAAUGGUAUGUUGGGAAAUUACAUUUUCCUCUAAACAAUUGAAAAUAGCCAUUACACAGAUGAUAGGGGACAGGAUUAGACAAAUAGCUUGCCCAUUUCAUUCUGGCAAUAUCUUUGCCUAGGAGGGAGGAGAUAAAUAUUUUAAGCGACUCCAUUAUAACAAAAAGAUGGGCUAGGUCACAGCACAGUGCUCUCUGUGUCAUAUUAGACAGGGGAAAUAGCUGCAUCCGGGAAGAGGUAUUCACUUCUCCUGGUGGGGUGAGUAUGUAUCAAAUGCCAGGAUUUCCAAGACCAUCUGCAGAAAAGAUAUCAGCUUCAUUAGCUGCAAACUACAGGGCUGCCAAUUUUACAAGGCAUUUUCCUGCCUCUCACUCCAGACCAUCGGCUCAUCCAUUCUCUAUGCCUCUGGGCACAAGCAAAUAGCUUACGAUGACUCCUCAGGAAGCAAUUUGUUUUUGAAAAAUGUUCCGGAUCUAGCCCAGAGCUCAUGAAAGGAAAAGGUAUAAGCUCUGUGACUCAAGAGGGACAGAAGAAGAGAAUGGAGGUAGAGGGUUAUGUAACUUUCCUCUGGGCUCCACAGGUGAAGCUUUUCACCAGGGACACUCUACAUAUCCUCUCCCUUCUUAUCAAGACCAUCUCUGGAACACAUAUUGAUAACCCUCUUAGCUGGGGCCCAGUGUCAGAAAUUGACAUGUCUGCAGGGAUUGAAAAGAAAUCGCAGGAAGCAAGUUCAGUGCUGAAAUCCCACAAACUGUUACCCCAAGAGACAAAGCAGGGAGCAAUGUAGGAACAG